UAUGGCCAUAUCCUGUUGAGACAUUGGUUCCCAUAUGAUAACCAAAGUUAAGCAAUGUUGAGCCUAGUCAGUACCUAGAUGAGUGACCACUUGGAAAUACCAAGUGCUGUAAG